AGCAAAGACACCGCACUGACCCAACCAAGAACAGUUUGAAAACCCACCCCAUCGUGCUUAAAAUCUAGGACAAAGAGCCGUCGGGAUGGAACCGCUUUGACUGCCAAUCUUCAAGCACAGCCUGGGAACAGCCUGGCGGCCCGAGCCCAGGAGCUACAAGGAGCACAACGCCCUGGGGUCCCUGAAACCCGACACCCAGGCGCCAAACCAGCGGAAACCAGAGCGAAAUCCUUGAAUUUCUUUGGACAGUUGCUUCCAGGCGUUUUCAGGGAGCCUGGGGACCCGAACGGAGCCCAGGCCGCCUAUGGCGCGUCCCUGAUGUCCCACGGACACAAGAGAGGCCAGCGUUCCGGCUGCAGCAUGGACCGUUCGGGGUGCCCGGGCACGGGCCUGCGUGGACUCUGCAUGGCUGCGCUCCUACUGGUGUGCGCCGGACACGAGGGCCACCGCGAGGACGGGGGACCAGCUUGCUUCCGGGGGGGAUGGGGGUUUCGAUCUUUAUUUCAUCCUGGACACAUUCUUUGAUGAUGAGAAAGUCAUUUCCUGGCAGCACCCCAUCUAACUGAAAGAAGAUAAUGAGCAUCAAAGAACCUCCAUAUGGAGAUGGCUUCAAAUGUGGCAAACAAGCCACUCAGGUAAAGAAAAUAACCUUACUUCACAACAGACAACUUCUGCCAAAAAUGGGCAAACUUAAAUGCAGGACAAGUUGACUGCCAAACUGCCAAGACAAGCCCACAGUUCAGGAUGUCUUUCAUCGUCUUCUCUACUCGAGGAACAACCUUAAUGAAACUGACUGAGGACAGGAAAGGAGACUUCAUAUCUGCGUCUUUUCAAAGUCUGUCUCUUCCCAAGUAGCCAUGAAACGUGUGCCUUCUGGUAUCUCAGCCAACAAUCACUCUCUUAAUUUGAGCCUUGACCUUUGCGUCUGGGCCCUUCUGCUGGCUCACUCUUCAAUGACUUCUGGUGAAAAGUUUUACAUGGCUGGACCGUAUUGCGGUGAAUCUUGUAUUGGAUUUAGUUCCAUCUGCUGAGUUGGAGCAAAUGUUGGCAAACUAGGUUUUCAGGGAUUAUGUUUUUCUCCCAUUUGAACUGGCUUUGUUCUGUAAACUAGAGUUCAGAAGCACAGUAAAACUCCACCAGAGAGAUAAGAGCCUGAAAUGUGUCCCGAGUGAUUAUCAAGGAUGGUAAUGGUAACAGGAAGUUGUGGCACCAACUAAAUAGGAGGAAAUCUUAAUCAAGCAUGGGGAAAAUGUCAGUUAACAAACAUUCUCUGGGGUUAUCCAUAUUCCACUCCACAAAAGGAGACCAUGGUGACAAAUAUGCGCCAUUCAUUCACAGUUAUCAUGGCACAUGGGAGAGAACUUUAUAGAAAACUGUGGCGGCAUGGCCCACAUGAGGGAAGUGCUGUGGAGACAUUCCUGGCUGACUUAAAAUGGCAGGUUGGAAAAAGAAAUGGAGGAGGGAAACAAGUAUUAGUCCAUUUUCUGUUACUCUAACAAAAUGCCACAGACUUAGUACUUUAUAAAGAGAAGAAGUUUAUUUAGCUCACAUUCCUGGAGAGUCAGGAGUAUAUGCCAGCAUGUAUACAUCAGAUGUGACAUAUGGCAUCAUGGUAGGAGAGACCACAAAGAGAGAUGGAGCCAGGAGAGUCAAGGGCUACGCCCAGUCUUCAUUCAGUCAAUUUGGGCAAGAGUCUGGGUCGUGCAAGAGCUACUUUAAUCUCAAGGUCCAUCCCCCAGUGACACAGUUAGUCCUCCAAGGCCCGACUUUCUAGUGGCUGCCUCUCAGUGGCAUUGCGUUAAGGACCAAGUGUCCAGUUAACAGCCCUCCAGCUAAACCAUAGCAGUAAGUGUAAGAAGGGCUGGAAGAUUUCACUGAUACCAUCCUCGUGUAGAAAUGAGAAUAGAAUUAACACUCUUUCCAGCUCAGACCAGCAAGUCCAAGCCAAUGCCCAUGCCUCUCCACACCUCUUUCCCAUCUAUGACUCUCCUUUCAAAAUCUCUUUCUCCCUCCAUGCAUGCAUGUUGCUGAGAUGCCCAGAAACCCCAUUUUAAAAGUGGGUGUCCUUUCCUCUUUACAGAAGGAACAAAGACCAUGUCUCCUUCCCACAGACACCAAGCAGAACCCAGACUAGGCCCAGGCUCCAUUGUUUCCCCAUCUUCUCGCAUAAUCUCUCUAAAGAGAGAACCCUGAAGUCCAGGAAGCCUCCUUCAGGGUUGGUCAAGCUUGGGAAGCUCCAAGAAGUGACAGGGACUUGUGUGAGAGUCAGGGUCCUGCUUGGUCUUUAUGUACCAUCCUUCAGAAGGCCUAGCUUCUGACCAGGGAUGGAGAACUAAGCAAAAAGCCUGGCUGGUUCCAUCACACCCUUCUCACCCCACCAGGCCAGGUGUGUCGGUGAACACAGCUAGGACACUGCGCGUGGAUGGCUCCUACAGUCAACCAUGGUUUCUUUGGCCACUAGCUCUUCUCCUACAUGGGUAAGAAGAAACUCUAGAGCCAAUCCAUGCCUGAGAGUGCUAACCAUCUGUGUGGAGGUGUCUGGAUCAUCAGUCCCAAACCAGAACUAGCUCUCCCCUGUCCUUCUCAUCCUGCUGUAACUGUGGUAUCCUGGCAUUGCUUCAUGCCAAUUAUCCUAUGGACAUGAUGGUGUGACCGAAAGAGGAAGCACAUACAGCUCCGAUAGAUGUUGUGAGCUACUCCACGGCCUCUGGGCAGCUGGCCAGGGUGGAUGAGAGAUGAAUAAAUCAGAAUGUCGUGCUGACAGCACUCCUUUUAGUCAGCUUGGAGUCUAAUUGUUUGUGCCUUAACUUUAUUACCACUAGUUUCUUGUGCCAAAGAAGGUUAAAGCAGAGGUUAGUGCUCCCACUUUGCUGCCAAUGGCUUUAAUGCUGAAGGCUGAAUCUCCUGUGGUGACUGCAUGGCCUGGCCAAGCAUGGCUCCAACAUGCACCCAACCUGACCAAGUAAAGAGGAGACUAGUGAUUGCUCUCAGACACCCUCGGGAGAGUGGCUUCGAGGGUCAGGCUUUUUGAUUGUCUCUCACUUGACUUGUCUUACAGUGAUUGGUUGGGCACAGGAAUCUCCUCCAUCUUUUUCCUCUGAGAGCAUUUGCUCUUUACCAUAUCCCUCCAAGACAGUAAAGGAUGCAUUGUUAUACCCUGUGUGAGGAAGUUUAUGGAAUUUUAAAAGAAACUCGUUAAAAUAAAAGGCCACCAGGCUGGGGAGACGUAAAAUGCUUGCUUUGCAAAUGUGAGGACCCGAGUUUGGAGCUCCGGAUCCACGUUAACAAGUCAGACUGGCUGCUGCCUGCAUGUGUGUCUUAUCUCAGCCCUGGCUGGAUGGGAGGUGGUAACAGGCAGAUAUCUGCAAGUUCAGCCCCCAGCUAACAAGCCUGCUUGGCAAAGUGAUGGGCCAGUGAGACCCUGUCUCAGGAAGACACCUGAGGGACAACACCCGAGGCUGUCCACUGACUUCACAGUGUGUAUCUGCACACAUACAUCCACCUAACUCCCCCCACACACUGUGUACAUACACACCCACACCUACACCUGAACUCACACCCACACCUAUACCUAACUCCCAUACACUCCCACACAAAACAACAGGGCAUCGGUCAGGAAAGAUUCUCCUUUUAACAAGAGAAACAAACAAACAACUUUGUUAAUCAGAAGACAUAAUGUCGAAGAUGUAUCUGCAAUGUCUUCCAUUAUGCUCUUGGAAUCCAAAACGCGUACAGGAAAACUAUGGGGAGACUAAAGAAAUAAAAUGGAAAACACAGUGAGCAGAGGCACAGUACAAAAACCGUAGGGGAAAGACAGCACACUCCUGUCCAGUUUCCAAGGGCAGCUGCGACAUUUAUGUUCGUACUUUGUGGGCAAUUCCUUCUAACCACUUUUAAGGUUCCUUCAUCCUGACUUCUCAGCAGUUUGGUUAUGAUGUCGGGGGGGGGGGGACUGUGCAGAGCUUACUGAAUCUGUAAAUUCUUGUCUUUCACUGAAUCUGGCAAGUUAACAACUGCUCUGUUCAGGGUUUUUUUAUUUUUAUUUUUGAAAUAAAUAAGCUUUUUUAUCAUCUCAUUAAAUAUUUAUGUUGUAUCUCGAGAUUUUACAAUCCGCACACACCAAGCCCUGAAGAUGUCUCUUUAUGUAGUACAAAAUCUCAUAAAGUGUUCGUCUGACGGAAGACUAUCCAUCUUCCCUUUGUGGUUGGGAGAGAAGUAAGCGUGAAGCCAUGUGUAAUGCUAGCCCUUCUUUCCUCGGGGCCCUGUUCUCUCGCAUGGUUCAGCUUACCAGCCUCCCUCACUUUUUUGUGGUCCCUGUACUUUCUUUGAUGGAUCAUGAGCUGUAGCACUCACUUUAUCCUCUUUCUGUUGACUGUCACGGUCCAGAUGAUGGCUUCUCCAUGUUACUCCAUAUGGCCCUGAAGUUGGUUCAUAUCUUUUCCAGUUUUCUCUUCGGUCAUCAGUGGGUGAUUUCUGCUGCUCUUCGGUCGUCUUCCUUUGGCCAUUGAGCACCUCUGCUUACUUCUUUAUUACAGAUAUUUACUUUUUCACUUCUACAUCUUCCAUUUGGUUCCUCUUGAAACCUUCAUGUUUCUGUCAAGUAUUUUUUUUUCAUCUUCAUCUUUAUUCCAAGGGUUCUCAGUGACCUCACAGGGUGGUUAUAAUCACUGCUUUCAGGCCUGUCAGGGUUCCAACCUCUCAGGAUUGGCAUGGCAAGUCACCUUUUCCCAUGAGAGCUGAUUACAUGCUUUUAGGUGCAUUUAUUUGUUGAGUAAUCUUAGAGUGUAGCUUUAUUUUUAUGUUGCUUAAACCUUGGGGUUUGUUGGAUUGUUUCCUUUCUUUGCUUCAGUUAGCUGUAACCUGGGGUCAGGCCUCUCCUCUAUCUCUAGUGUGGACGGAGGUUUUAGGGUCCUCUUGGUUAAUAAGCAGGAAACCUGGCUGGUUUGAUCUGCCACCACGCAGCACAGAAGUGACCUGGAAUCUCCAGCUUCGGGCACAGAACUGGGGCCUCCUUCUGCAGCCACUCCAGAACCACCCGAAGAAUCUAGCCAAGAAGGGGUGUCUGUUGGCAUUUUGGUCAGAUAUACUGCUGAGGUAAGCCCUCAUCCGAGGCGAAGUCAGAGAAAGAGGGGCCUCUCUUUCCAGGAUUCCCCAAAUGGAGAUCGUCUCAGCCUUUUACUAUCCACUUCAGCCACCACCACAUCAUGAAUGGUGUCCUCAGGUUAAGACCACGAGAGAAAGAGGGAGUGAAAAUCUGCAACUCACUUAUGUAGCUACCAUUAGGGUUUCAACUCCCUUCCUUAUAGCUUUGUUUACUUUCUAGGCCUUCCUGUGGCUGCUGUUAUGCUGUGGCAGUCUGUGGCAGGCUGUGGGCUUUCCUUCCCUUUCAUUAAUGAGGACACUGAGGUUCCAGAAGUUCACUGAGGUCCAGUAACAGGCAAAUGUAAGAACUGGUUUCUGAUCUCUGGAUUCUGGACUUGGUUGAGUCAGAGUCUGUGUCUGAUCAUGUCCUCCUUCCAUGGUUUCUCAGCUUCCUCGUUUUAAACAACCCAAGAUCUGUGGGCCACUUCAUUAGCAUUGUAGAGUAUAUAAUGCUCAUUGAAUUAUUAUCAUAAUACAGAAAUUUAGUGGGAACUACUGCAGAUGAUUUUCUGAAAAAUUCAAGUCCUCAUUGUGAAAUUAUCUGAAAGACUUAAAAUGUUCUAUCAUUUGGAAAUGAGACAGUGUCCGAGGAGUUCAACUGGCUCUUUAAUGGAAAUCCGGAGAAGUGCUUGUGUGUGUGUGUUAAGGUGGUCAUUUAUAUUUUGUUUGUUUUUGCAUACCAUGGAGCGGAAUCCAUUAAAAAGAUCUUAAGACACUGGCUGAUUCUCAUAUUUCUGGUUGUAUUUGGUAUAUGGUAUAUUCUUUUUAUAUGAAAGGGAAUUCACAUAAAAGGGAAUUCAGAAAUUUAGUAUUCUUAUUCAACUUUUGCUUAUGACAAUAUGCAUUUUAAAAUUUAAGUUCUACUGUAACUUAUUGCAUGUAAGAUACGGGGCUAACAUUUGACAUUUCCCCUCACUGGGAACCAGUUUUUCCAGCGCUCUUGUGGAACAACCUUUUAGCCAGCCAUUUAAAAUCAGCCUGCAUGGAUUUGGGCACUGCUUGGUUUUCUCUUCUGUUCUGUUUCCAUUUUGUUUUCCUGCAGUUCUACAUUCUGACCACAUUGUUUUAAUUAGUUUCAACAUCUGGAGGACUGGUCUUUCCUCAUUUCUAAUAUUGAGCAAAAAUCGCCUUGGUCUUCGGUGGAUUUUUCCAACCAUGUGCUUUUAGAUUUUUAUUUAAUGUUCCAAAUACCGUUGGGGUUUUCAUCUGCACAGUCUGAGAGGCGUCGAUGAAUCCUGGCACCGACGGCACUGGGUUCUUACUGUGCAGCAUUCACUCCUGUUUAAGGCUGCUUAGCACUUCUGUUUUGUGCCCACUGGGAAGGUUUUGUUCUUUUCCUAACUUGCAUUCAAGUUGGUUGCAUUGUUGGUUAACUGUGUUCCCAUGGUUAGUGGAACAUCACCUGCUACCUCAUCUGGGCUGCCAUGACACAGGCAUGGUGGGCUUGGUGCUCGGAACCCGCCAGCUUCUACUAAGCAGCAUGAAAUGCUCGUAGGAGCAUCCAUGGAUCAUCUACAUGGAUAAUCAGUAGUUCAGCCUGCGAAUCCAGAAGUAGCUUAAGAAAUAAUGUUUUAGGGGGAAAUUACUGGUUUUACAGAAUUUUUUCUUCUAUCUCUCCCCUCCUCCUUCUCUGAGGAAUUGGGGGUGGAACCCAGGGCUUGGACAUGCUAGCUAAGUGCUCUGUCACUGAGCCACUGAGCCCCAGCCCUGUAGAGUUGACCCCCCGCCCUCAUUUUAAUGAAAUAUUUUAUUAGUUCUAACUUUCUCAGUUACCUAAUGGUAUGUCUUACACUGAUCAACACUUCUGUUUUGUACGUUUUUAAGUUUUAUUAUUCAUUAUUAUAUAUUACCAUUAUGGAUUCUCGUUUCUUCUAGUGCCCUAUAGUUUCACUAUUUUUCUGUCAUCUUGAUAUGAAGGAAGGUUUUGUUUGCUUGUUUGUGUCUUAUCCUUUUGUUAAUAAUAAAAGCUGCUGUUGCUAUAAACUGAACUUUAAAACUGUCGGAGCUGACAUUCAUGCUCACUGAAAUGUCUUGUUCUCACUGCUAACUGCUGACUCAUUUGUAGGUAUAACUUUACCCUUGAUAUAUAAUGAUUUGGAAAGGUGUUCCCCACUUGAUUUUUGUUUACCCUUCCCCCAGUUUUCAGAACCAACCGCUCUUUUCAAAUACUGCGAUUUGGAUAAUUUAGCUUUUGAGUGUUGGUUUCUGGCUUUCUUAGUUUUGCCAGUGGACUGCCAUGGGAACUGCGCGCUGUGUGAUCCAGCCCCACAGCCCUUGAUUUACUUUCCUGGAAGCU